GGGUUAACUAGAUCAGAUCUACAGCUGGUCUAUGGGUUAACUAGAUCAGGUCUAUGGGUUAACUAGAUCAGGUCUAUGGGUUAACUAGAUCAGAUCUACAGCAGGUCUAUGGGUUAACUAGAUCAGAUCUACAUCAGGUCUAUGGGUUAACUAGAUCAGGUCUAUGGGUUAACUAGAUCAGAUCUACAGCAGGUCUAUGGGUUAACUAGAUCAGAUCUACAGCAGGUCUACGGGUUAACUAGAUCAGAUCUACAUCAGGUCUAUGGGUUAACUAGAUCAGGUCUAUGGGUUAACUAGAUCAGAUCUACAUCAGGUCUAUGGGUUAACUAGAUCAGAUCUACAGCAGGUCUAUGGGUUAACUAGAUCAGAUCUACAGCAGGUCUAUGGGUUAACUAGAUCAGAUCUACAGCAGGUCUAUGGGUUAACUAGAUCAGAUCUACAGCUGGUCUAUGGGUUAACUAGAUCAGGUCUAUGGGUUAACUAGAUCAGAUCUACAGCAGGUCUAUGGGUUAACUAGAUCAGAUCUACAUCAGGUCUAUGGGUUAACUAGAUCAGGUCUAUGGGUUAACUAGAUCAGAUCUACAGCAGGUCUAUGGGUUAACUAGAUCAGAUCUACAGCAGGUCUAUGGGUUAACUAGAUCAGAUCUACAGCAGGUCUAUGGGUUAACUAGAUCAGAUCUACAGCAGGUCUAUGGGUUAACUAGAUCAGAUCUACAGCAGGUCUAUGGGUUAACUAGAUCA